CAGCAGCCGCGGUAAUACGAAGGGUGCAAGCGUUAAUCGGAAUUACUGGGCGUAAAGCGUGCGUAGGCGGUUUGUUAAGUCUGUUGUGAAAUCCCCGGGCUCAACCUGGGAAUGGCAAUGGAUACUGGCAAGCUAGAGUGUGUCAGAGGAUGGUGGAAUUCCCGGUGUAGCGGUGAAAUGCGUAGAGAUCGGGAGGAACAUCAGUGGCGAAGGCGGCCAUCUGGGACAACGCUGACGCUGAGGUACGAAAGCGUGGGGAGCAAACAGGAUUAGAUACCCCUGUAGUCCCUGUCUCUUAUAC
rnacentral:rRNA from 1 species